GGCGCCCCUUCCUGGGUCGCGUGAAAUAGAUCACAGUGCCCCCUCCUCCCAGUUCUCUGUUCCUUCCCCCUUCCUCCCUUUCUCUACCACCUAGGGUUAGGAAUUUGUUAUGGAAGAUUGAGACUUUGUGCUACUGAUUUGAUGGGAAUGGAGGGACCCUAGGCGCGAGGGAGGGAGCUGUGCUGCACAAGCUCCUGUACAUGGAGCGGUAGAUAAGGGUUUGGCGCAGAGCACUUGCAAUCAGGUGCUGCAACCAGAGGAAGCAAGGCAUCCGCGCUAGUUCUGCAGGGCAAAGGGAAGGUGGCCCUGGUUCUUGGUGUGGUGCAGGCCUAAGCGCGUAGGGAGCGAGGCCAGCAGCGCCAGUUGAAGGGAGGUCAGCCCUGGUUCUAUUUUUUCUUGGCGUGCGCAUAGGGGAGAAGCAGCAAACGCUGGUGGUGCACGCGCCAAGCAAAAGAGGGUCGGCACUCACUAGCAAGCAGCAACGUGCAUUAAGAGCCAGCACGCGCACAUGAACCGCAAGAGUUAUAGCUGAUUUGCCACGCACACAAGGUGUUCGAGAGAAUUCUUUUAGCAAGUUUUUGUUGCACAUGUGUGUGUUCUUUGUUGUGUUGCAGGUCUCCAUGGAGCGUGUGUAUGUGUGUGGGAAAUCCGUGGUGAGACACUGUUGAUUUGCCAUUGUUUUCAUCGACGCCCACAGUGUUCGAGGAAAUAUUGAACACGGCUUUUCUCCGUCAAGAUCGAAGGACUGGAGGACAUGUGGCUUAUCGACUUCGGAUGUUCUCAUCACAUGACUGAAAAUCCUAAAUGGUUCUUCAGCCUCACCCCAGUGACUACCAAGGAGUAUAUCACUUUUAGGGACAACAACAAAGGUAAGAUCAUCUCUGAAGGUGCGAUCAAGGUGAGUGACAACUUUACUCUCAAGUGUGUUGCACUUGUUCAACCUCUUGGGCACAAUCUGCUUUCUGUUUCUCAACUGCUUGAUGAAGGUUUUGAGGUGUGCCUCAAGCCUGAUUCUUCACGGAUUCUUGAUUCCCAGGGUGAGCUUGUGUGCAUGAUCAUCCCUGAGGGUCAGAUUUUUUGUGCUGAUUUUUCGACUUCCUUUGGACCUUCUCGGUGCUUAAUUGCUAGUUCUUUUUAUGAGCUUUGGAAAUGGCAUAGGAGAAUAGGACAUUUGAGUUUUGACUUGCUUUCAUACUUGAUUCUUUGGAUCUUGUCCGAGGUCUUCCUAAGCUCAAAUUUGAGAAGGAUCUGGUUUGUGCUCUGUGUCGUCAUGGGAAAAUGGUUGCUUCUUCUCACCCACCUGUGAAUCAGGUGAUGACUGACCACCCUGCUGAGCUUUUACAUAUGGACAAUGUUGGUCCUGCUCAGGUGCAUUCAGUUGGUGGAAAAUGGUAUGUUCUUGUGAUUCUAGACGAUUUUUCUCGCUAUUCUUGGGUCUACUUUCUUGAGACAAAGGAUGAAGCCUUUGGUUUUGUUCGAGAUCUGAUUUUGAGGUUGAAGAAUGAACAACCAUAUGAUCCCAUUAUAGCUAUUCGCAAUGACAAUGGGAUAGAAUUCAAGAAUGCUCGUUUUGAAACUUUUUGUAGUGAUCUUGGUCUCGAACAUCAGUUUUCUUCUCCCUAUGUGCCUCCUCAGAAUGGAAUUGUUGAGUGCAAGAACCUGACCAUCUUUGAGAUGGCUAGGACGAUGCUCGAUGAGCACAGGACUCCUAGGAAGUAUUGGGCUGAGGCAGUCAAUACUGCUUGUUACAUUUCAAACUGGAUUUUCUUAAGUGCUUUGCUGAAGAAAACUUUUGAUGAGCUCAUGCAUCAUCGUGCACCUAAGGUGAGUCAUUUGAGAACUUUCAGGUGCCGUUGCUUUAUCUUGAAACAAGGCAAUUUGGAUAAAUUUGAAUCUCAUUCUUCAAAUGGAAUCUUUCUUGGUUAUGCGGCUCAUAGUCGUGCUUAUCGUGUUCUGAAUCUUAAGACUAAUCGGGUCAUAGAAACUUGUGAGACUACAUUCGAUGAAACUAUGCCUCGCACAACCCCUGCUUUUGAGUGUGCAGAUGAAUAGGAAUUGGGACAAGACAUCUUUGAGGAAGAGGAAGAAGAUGCAGAUGAUGGUGCUAAUGAUGAUGGAAUUGAUCACGUUCCAACUGAUCCACCAGUACAUUCUACUUUGACUACCUUUGUUGAUGGUCCAGACACUAGUUCCACUACACCAGGACAUCAACAUGAACCCCUACUUGAUCAAGUUGAAGAAGAAGUCCAGGAUGACCCAGCUGAGGUAGAGGGGGAGGCUACUUUAGAGCGUCAGGGGCUUAUUCAGUGACACCAUCCUCCUCAACAAAUGAUCAGUAACUUGCAUGAACGCACCACUAGGAAUAAAUCUAGGCAAAUUUCUCACUUUGUGCAUUCUGCGUUUGUUGCUUCUUUUGAACCCCGAGAUGUUGGACAUGCUCUUUUUGAUCCGAAUUGGGUAAAUGCCAUGCGUGAGGAGUUGGAAAAUUUUGAAAGAAACCGGGCUUGGGUUUUGGUUGAACCUCCACCAAAUUGUCAUCCUAUAGAAACCAAGUGGGUUUUCAAAAAACAAACAGGGUGAAAAUGGUUUGGUUAUUCAAAACAAAGAGAGUUGGUUGCCCAGGGCUUUUGCCAAAAAGAAGGGAUAGAUUAUGAAGAAACCUUUGCUCUUGUUGCCCAUUUGGAAGCCAUCCGAAUUCUUCUUGCUUUUGCAGCUUCGAAAGGUUUUAAGCUUUUUCAAAAGGAUGAGUGAUUGAGGAAUAGUGGUGGUCACCCCAGUGUGAUGAGUGAUUGACAACCAUUGUGUGUUGAUGUUUGCCUUGGUUGUGAGUGUAGGUGCAGGGUGCGCCGUGGCGAUCGACGGCAUGAGGUGAAGGACAAGUGAAAGGUUCGGGGAAGAAUGCGAGUAGACUUAGGCCAAGGGACCCGAAGAUGUCGGGCGGAGUCAUUGGCGGCCCACAUGGUGCACAGGUCGACAAGCAAGCAUGAAGGAAGGAUGCGGCGACGUGGGUCGAGUCGGCGAGUCAAGUAGGCGGCCCGUGCGGCGGGCGCACGCGAACGACUCGAACGCGUCAAGGCGCGGUUGGAGGUCCGACACGUGCCAUCAUCAGAGAGGUCACGUGGCGGCCAAGCAGAGAUGGAUAGUUUUGAUUGUUUAGGCCUCAAAACUAUCACCGGUGGCUGGUUUCCCAGUUUUGGCCGUGAAACCAUGGGCGGACUUCACGCGGUCAAGGUCCGGGCGGAGGACACGCGGCGCAAUCAUGAAGCUUGCAUCGAGGCGAAGCGAAGUCGUGAAGGCGGCGUGUCUGUCCGAUGCUCCUAUUAAAAUCUAGAUGAAUUUGCCCCUGCGUAGGUGUGUAGCGUAAUUAAUAGUGUCGGGGUAUUUUGGUGUUUGAGUAGACAAAAGUUGGAGGAUAAGAGAUGCAAUGUUGGGGGCACCCCUUCCUGGGCCGCGUGAAACAUAUCACAACGCCCCACCUCCCAGUUCUCUGUUCCUUCCCCUUCCCCCCUUUCUACACCACCUAGAGUUAGGAAAUUGCUAUGGAAGAUUGGGACAUUGUGCUAAUGAUUUGAUGGGAAUGGAGACCCUUCCCUACUAUUGCCCUCCGGGUUUUUGUUUUGAAUCGAUUCACUGUCUCCCUAUGUUGGAUUUCGUUUUGGUUUCCUUGUGUGGUUCUCUGUUCUUGUGUCCAGGGAUCCUAGGCGCGAGGGAGGGAGGUGUGCUGCACGAGCUCGUGUAUGUGGAGCGGUGGACAAGGGUUUGGCACAGAGCACUAGCAAUCAGGCACUGCAACUAGAGGAAGCAAGGCACGCGUGCUGGUUCUGCAGGACAACGGGCAGGCGGCCCUGGUUAUUGGCGUGGUGCAAGGCUGGGCACGUAGGGAGCGAGCCAAGCUGCGCCAGUUGAAGGGAGGUCAGCCCUGGUUCUGUUUUUUCCUUGGCAUGCACAUAGGGGAGAAGCAGCAUGCGCUAGUGGUGCACGCACCCAGCAGAAGAGGGCCGGCGCUCGCAGGCAAGCAGCAGUACGCAGUAAGGGCCGGGGCGCGCAUAGGAACUGCAGCUCAGUUUUCAGUGUUUCUUGUGGUCUCGCGAGCAUAGCUCCGAUCCCUCUCCUUUAGUUUGUUCUUGUAAUGUUUUUCUUUUAGUUGGUGUUGUGUUCUUAGUUGUGAUUAUUCUGCUUGUUUCUUGUAUGUUUGCCCCAAUGCUUAUUGCGAGUAGAAAGGAACGCAGUUCGAGAAGAUGAAGAGUUUCAAGAGAAAGUGUUGAAGACUCUGAGCAAUUUUUCUCUGGUAUAAAGGCAAGUAUAUUCCUUAAUCAUUUUAUCCUAAUAACAUUUAUUAUAUGCUUGUAUGCAAUAAUCAACCAUGGAGCGACCACCCGGGAAAAUAGCGCAACCACAAGGACUACAUGGCUCUGGUCAUGGCUGAUUAAUAAGAUGUCUCUAGCUUUUUAGUAGCUUCCCAAAAGGCGCAAGAUGGGGGACUAGGUUUAAGAGUGGUACGCUUCCUGCUAAGGGUGUACACAUUUGUUUGGUUUUUGUCACUCCUUGGGGGAGGUACAAUCAUACGCCCACGGUCGGACACUGCAUAGUCCCGGAUGGAAGCACUCUAGGACUAGCAGGAACAAGAGGCGAGGCAACGGGAGGAAUGGAACAGAGGAUGGAGGUCAAGAAACUGAGGAUAGAGGCCGAGCGCCAAGCCAAGCCGCAGAGGAUGGAGCAGCUAUUACAGAGGAUGCAAGGUCUUGGCGAGAGAAUGGGUCAACCUAUGCCACUGAAGCUAUUCCCUACUCCACCUCCUCCUACAACUACUCAUAAUCAGUCGACGGCAUCGAAUAAUGGGCCUCAUGACCCGGAUUUGUCACCGUCGUCGUGGUAGUAGUGGCCACGUCAGUGAGUACUUGUGGACUUGCUUUGUGGUUGUGCAAUAUUUGUAUGGACUUGCUUUUGUAUUGGUUUGCUUGUAUUUGCACUUGUGGACUACUUCUAGUUGUGGAUGAACGAUACUAAGCCUUAUUUGCAUA